rnacentral:rRNA from 1 species
AACGAACGCUGGCGGCGUGCUUAACACAUGCAAGUCGAGCGGGAAAGUUUCCUUCGGGAAGCGAGUACAGCGGCAGACGGGUGAGUACAACGUAGGUAACCUACCCUCGAGACCGGGAUAACCUGUCGAAAGACGGGCUAAUACCGGAUAAGACCACAAGGGCUGCGGCCUUUGAGGUAAAAGAUGGCCUCUGCUUGCAAGCUAUCACUUGGGGAUGGGCCUGCGCGCCAUUAGCUAGNGGUGAGUAACGGCUCACCAAGGCAAAGAUGGCUAGCUGGUCUGAGAGGAUGGCCAGCCACACUGGGACUGAGACACGGCCAGACUCCUACGGAGGCAGCAGUGGGGAAUAUUGCGCAAUGGGCGAAAGCCUGACGCAGCGACGCCGCGUGGGUGA